CCUACGGGAGGCAGCAGUGGGGAAUUUUGGACAAUGGGCGAAAGCCUGAUCCAGCAAUGCCGCGUGUGUGAAGAAGGCCUUCGGGUUGUAAAGCACUUUUGUCCGGAAAGAAAUCCUUGGCUCUAAUACAGUCGGGGGAUGACGGUACCGGAAGAAUAAGCACCGGCUAACUACGUGCCAGCAGCCGCGGUAAUACGUAGGGUGCGAGCGUUAAUCGGAAUUACUGGGCGUAAAGCGUGCGCAGGCGGUUUGCUAAGACCGAUGUGAAAUCCCCGGGCUCAACCUGGGAACUGCAUUGGUGACUGGCAGGCUAGAGUAUGGCAGAGGGGGGUAGAAUUCCACGUGUAGCAGUGAAAUGCGUAGAGAUGUGGAGGAAUACCGAUGGCGAAGGCAGCCCCCUGGGCCAAUACUGACGCUCAUGCACGAAAGCGUGGGGAGCAAACAGGAUUAGAUACCCUGGUAGUC
rnacentral:rRNA from 1 species